CAAAUGAUAGAGAAGUCAGAGCAGGGGUACCUAUGAUCCUUCCUGAGACUGAAUCAGUCCCUACAGGCCUGGGAAGAGUCUUUCAAUAAGAUAUGGAUCUAGGAAAAGAUUGAACAGUGCAUAAACUGAUGCUUUAGACUUCUGAAUACUACAGAAAAUGAGGGUAGGCACUUUUUAUUGGAGCUAAAACCCUGAGAGGGACCGCUGGCUCCAAAGUGCCAAAGCAGCUUGUUGGCAGAGUAAGGGGUUUGUAUGUGGGGAGCUGGGAUAGGAGAGAACAAAGAAGCUGGAAGCUAACUGUUCUGGGAUCAGGUCAUCUAUCUUAAUCCAUGGUAACUGAUCCAUUUUGUGUUUGCAUAAGGUUCACCAUUCUUUUCCUUUUUAAGUUUCAUUAUUCUUGAGGCGCUGAGGGCCUUUUGUUCUGGAAUGGUCUGUUCUAUUAAAAGGAAUUAAUUAAG